rnacentral:rRNA from 1 species
UACGUAGGGUGCAAGCGUUAAUCGGAAUUACUGGGCGUAAAGCGUGCGCAGGCGGUUAUAUAAGACAGAUGUGAAAUCCCCGGGCUCAACCUGGGAACUGCAUUUGUGACUGCAUGGCUAGAGUACGGUAGAGGGGGAUGGAAUUCCGCGUGUAGCAGUGAAAUGCGUAGAUAUGCGGAGGAACACCGAUGGCGAAGGCAAUCCCCUGGACCUGUACUGACGCUCAUGCACGAAAGCGUGGGGAGCAAACAGG